AGUGAACGCUGGCGGUAGGCCUAACACAUGCAAGUCGAACGGCAGCACAGUAAGAGCUUGCUCUUACGGGUGGCGAGUGGCGGACGGGUGAGGAAUACAUCGGAAUCUACUUUUUCGUGGGGGAUAACGUAGGGAAACUUACGCUAAUACCGCAUACGACCUACGGGUGAAAGCAGGGGAUCUUCGGACCUUGCGCGAUUGAAUGAGCCGAUGUCGGAUUAGCUAGUUGGCAGGGUAAAGGCCCACCAAGGCGACGAUCCGUAGCUGGUCUGAGAGGAUGAUCAGCCACACUGGAACUGAGACACGGUCCAGACUCCUACGGGAGGCAGCAGUGGGGAAUAUUGGACAAUGGGCGCAAGCCUGAUCCAGCAAUACCGCGUGGGUGAAGAAGGCCUUCGGGUUGUAAAGCCCUGUUGUUGGGAAAGAAAAGCAGCAGGUUAAUACCCCGCUGUUCUGACGGUACCCAAAGAAUAAGCACCGGCUAACUUCGUG
rnacentral:rRNA from 1 species